rnacentral:rRNA from 1 species
CUACGGGAUGCUCCAGUGAGGAAUUUUGCGCAAUGGGGGAAACCCUGACGCAGCAACGCCGCGUGAGUGAAGAAGGCUUUCGGGUCGUAAAGCUCUGUCAGAUAGGAAAAAAGUUCAUAUGUAAAUAGCUUAUGAAUCUGAUGGUACUAUCAGAGGAAGCACCGGCUAACUCCGUGCCAGCAGCCGCGGUAAUACGGAGGGUGCAAGCGUUGUUCGGAAUUACUGGGCGUAAAGGGCGUGUAGGCGGUAUGGUAAGUCAGAUGUGAAAGCCCUGGGCUUAACUCAGGAAGUGCAUUUGAUACUGCCAUCCUUGAGUAUGGGAGAGGAGAGUAGAAUUCCCAGUGUAGAGGUGAAAUUCGUAGAUAUUGGGAGGAGUACCCGUGGCGAAGGCGACUCUCUGGACCAAUACUGACGCUGAGACGCGAAAGCGUGGGGAGCAAACAGGAUUAGAUACCCGGGUAGUC